rnacentral:rRNA from 1 species
AACGAACGCUGGCGGCAUGCCUAACACAUGCAAGUCGAACGAGACCUUCGGGUCUAGUGGCGCACGGGUGCGUAACGCGUGGGAACCUGCCCUUAGGUUCGGAAUAACUCCCCGAAAGGGGUGCUAAUACCGGAUAAUGUCUUCGGACCAAAGAUUUAUCGCCUUUGGAUGGGCCCGCGUUGGAUUAGCUAGUUGGUAGGGUAAAAGCCUACCAAGGCGACGAUCCAUAGCUGGUCUGAGAGGAUGGUCAGCCACACUGGGACUGAGACACGGCCCAGACUCCUACGGGAGGCAGCAGUGGGGAAUAUUGGACAAUGGGCGAAAGCAUGAUCCAGCAAUGCCGCGUGAGUGAUGAAGGCCUUAGGGUUGUAAAGCUCUUUUACCCGGGAUGAUAAUGACAGUACCGAGAGAAUAAGCUCCGGCUAACUCCGUG